UAGCAUCGUCAUCGCAAAAUGCAGGCUCUCCUGCUCCCCGCGCGGGCCGCGCCGCCGACGCCGGCGAUGCUUCGGCAGCGUGCGGUUUCUGCCUCCGCGUGUGCGUCGCAGGUCUGCCGCCCCCUAUUCGGUGCCGCCAGUUGCAUCUCCUGUGGGGUCCACGGAAGCGUUCGGCGGCACCUCACAGUGGCGGUGGCGGCGGCCCCGCCCUCGCCUUCGUCCUCACCUUCGUCGGGACCGCUCUACCCGACGCCUCC
rnacentral:lncRNA from 1 species